rnacentral:rRNA from 1 species
GUUUGAGCAGCCGCGGUAAUACGUAGGGGGCAAGCGUUGUCCGGAUUCAUUGGGCGUAAAGCGCGUGUAGGCGGCCAGGUAGGUCCGGUGUGAAAACUCGAGGCUCAACCUCGAGAGGUCAUCGGAAACCAUCUGGCUAGAGUCCGGAAGAGGAGAGUGGAAUUCCCGGUGUAGCGGUGAAAUGCGCAGAUAUCGGGAAGAACACCCAUGGCGAAGGCAGCUCUCUGGGACGGUACUGACGCUGAGACGCGAAAGCGUGGGGAGCGAACAGGAUUAGAUACCCCCGUAGUCC